rnacentral:rRNA from 1 species
CCUACGGGUGGCAGCAGUGGGGAAUAUUGGACAAUGUGCGAAAGCCUGAUCCAGCCAUGCCGCGUGUGUGAAGAAGGCCUUCGGGUUGUAAAGCACUUUCAGUGGGGAAGAAAGCCUUGGGGCUAAUACCCUCGAGGAAGGACAUCACCCACAGAAGAAGCACCGGCUAACUCCGUGCCAGCAGCCGCGGUAAUACGGAGGGUGCGAGCGUUAAUCGGAAUUACUGGGCGUAAAGCGCGCGUAGGCGGUCUGAUAAGCCGGUUGUGAAAGCCCCGGGCUCAACCUGGGAACGGCAUCCGGAACUGUCAGGCUAGAGUGCAGGAGAGGAAGGUAGAAUUCCCGGUGUAGCGGUGAAAUGCGUAGAGAUCGGGAGGAAUACCAGUGGCGAAGGCGGCCUUCUGGACUGACACUGACGCUGAGGUGCGAAAGCGUGGGUAGCAAACAGGAUUAGCUACCCGAGUAGUC